rnacentral:rRNA from 1 species
AGCGAACGCUGGCGGCAGGCCUAACACAUGCAAGUCGAACGAACCUUUCGGGGUUAGUGGCGGACGGGUGAGUAACACGUGGGAACGUGCCUUUAGGUUCGGAAUAACUCAGGGAAACUUGUGCUAAUACCGAAUGUGCCCUCCGGGGGAAAGAUUAAUCGCCUUUAGAGCGGCCCGCGUCUGCUUAGCUAGUUGGUUGAGGUAAUGGCUCACCAAGGCGACGGUCAGUAGCUGGUCUGAGAGGAUGAUCAGCCACAUUGGGACUGAGACACGGCCCAAACUCCUACGGGAGGCAGCAGUGGGGAAUCUUGCGCAAUGGGCGGAAGCCUGACGCAGCCAUGCCGCGUGAAUGAUGAAGGUCUUAGGAUUGUAAAAUUCUUUAACCGGGGACGAUAAUGACGGUACCCGGAGAAGAAGCCCCGGCUAACUUCGUG